AAAUAAAAUAAUUAUAAUGAUUGAUUGUAAUUCUGUUGGCUGGAGAUGAUAUUCACACUUAUUAAUCAAUAAAUCUGUGGUUUCUUUGUGGUUUGAGGCAUCGCUGCGUCCUCAUAUGAUCAGUUAUUAGUGUUGUUCAGAUGUCUGUUGUUGUGUUUCAGGAAAGAGCAGUGAGUCUGGAGACACUUUGUACUCUGAACUGAAGCACAACACAGACAGAGGUGCUGAUGCUGGUCAUGAAACCUAUGCUCAACCAAUGAGGAAGAAGAAUAAAACACGUCUCUGAGUGCAGUGAAGACAACAGACGGCUGAAAGAGAUUCACAGCAGCAGACACAGUGACGCUUGCAUUGCUUCAGAAAUGAAUCUGAGUGAACUGCUUACACUCGUGCUUGAUUCAAUUACUUUAGAGAUACAUAUGCAUUGUAUUAUCUGUACACAUGCAAGCAAUCAAAUCUAUCUAUAAUAUAUUGUAAAACACUUUGUGAACACGUUUGUUUAAUACAAUUCAUAACUAAAAGUAAUCACAGCAACUAAAUAGUUAAAAAUAUAGAAUAAAAAGAAAAAUAAUAAAGUGUAACUGGCAAUUUGUUGAUAGUUACAAAUUAAUGCUUUUGUUUUGCCAAAGUCAUU